UACGUAGGGGUCGAGCGUUGUCCGGACUUACUGGGCGUAAAGCGUGUGUAGGUGGGUGCUGAUGUGCCGUGUGAAAGCGCCGCGCUUCUCGCGGCGAGGUCGCGGUAGACACAGCACCUAGAGGCACGGAGAGGGGCGUAGAAUUCCCGGUGUAGUGGUGAAAUGCGUAGAUAUCGGGAGGAAUACCAGUGGCGCAAGCGGCGCCCUGGCCGUGACCUGACACUGAGCCACGACGGCGUGGGGAGCAAACGGG
rnacentral:rRNA from 1 species